CGGCUCCUGAAGGAUAAAGCAGAGUAGACCCAGAUCGUUUCUAUAGGAGAAUCGAUUUUCGAUUGCAUUAAUCGGUAGAACAUGUUGACGAAAUGAGACAAAUUUAAGGUUUCUUUGUGGAUUUCAUCUAGGAGUUGUUGCAUUGAUUGGUGGAGUGCGAGGCCAUAAUUUUCCCCGAUAAGAAGACUGGGUUUUGGAGACGAAGCCAUGCUGAUUCUUGAAAAUUUAGGAAUCCGACU
rnacentral:misc_RNA from 1 species